GAAAAGAAACCAACAGGGAUUGCCCUAGUAACGGCGAGUGAAGCGGCAACAGCUCAAAUUUGAAAUCUGGCUUCGGCCCGAGUUGUAAUUUGCAGAGGAUGUUUAUGGUGCGGUGCCUACCGAGUUCCCUGGAACGGGACGCCACAGAGGGUGAGAGCCCCGUCUGGUAGGACACUAAACCUGUGUUAAACUCCUUCAACGAGUCGAGUAGUUUGGGAAUGCUGCUCUAAAUGGGAGGUAAAUCUCUUCUAAAGCUAAAUACUGGCCAGAGACCGAUAGCGCACAAGUAGAGUGAUCGAAAGAUGAAAAGCACCUUGAAAAGGGGGUUAAACAGUACGUGAAAUUGUUGAAAGGGAAGCGUUUAUGACCAGACUUGUGUCGUGUGGCUCAUCCGAGGUUCUCCCCGGUGCACUCCACGCGGCUCAGGCCAACAUCGGUUGUCGUUGGGGGAUAAGAACAGUAGGAACGUGGCUCCCCUCGGGGAGUGUUAUAGCCUAUUGUACGAUACCCUGAUGGCGACCGAGGACCGCGCUUCGGCUAGGAUGUUGGCGUAAUGGUCAUUAGCGACCCGUCUUGAAACACGGACCAAGGAGUCGUCCAUUAGAGCGAGCGUUUGGGUGUAAAACCCGCACGCGUAAUGAAAGUGAAAUUAGGUGAGAGCUUCGGCGCAUCAUCGACCGAUCCUGAAGUUUACGGAUGGAUUUGAGUAAGAGUUUUAACGGACGGACCCGAAAGACAGUGAACUAUGCUUGAAUAGGGUGAAGCCAGAGGAAACUCUGGUGGAGGCUCGCAGCGGUUCUGACGUGCAAAUCGAUCGUCAAAUUUGAGCAUGGGGGCGAAAGACUAAUCGAACUGUCUAGUAGCUGGUUACCGCCGAAGUUUCCCUCAGGAUAGCAGUGUUGACCUUCAGUUUUAUGAGGUAAAGCGAAUGAUUAGGGACUCGGGGGCGCUUAUUAGCCUUCAUCCAUUCUCAAACUUUAAAUAUGUAAGAAGCCCUUGUUACUUAAUUGAACGUGGGCAUUCGAAUGUACCAACACUAGUGGGCCAUUUUUGGUAAGCAGAACUGGCGAUGCGGGAUGAACCGAACGGGGGGUUAAGGCGCCAGAAUGUACGCUCAUCAGACACCACAAAAGGCGUUAGUACAUCUUGACAGCAGGACGGUGGCCAUGGAAGUCGGAAUCCGCUAAGGACUGUGUAACAACUCACCUGCCGAAUGUACUAGCCCUGAAAAUGGAUGGCGCUCAAGCGUACUGCCCAUACCCCCCCUUCAGGGUAGAAACGAUGCCCUGAAGAGUAGGCGGCCGUGGAGGUUGUGACGAAGCCUAGGGCGUGAGCCCGGGUCG
rnacentral:rRNA from 1 species